UGAGCUCGAUGAGUAGGGCGGGACACGUGGUAUCCUGUCUGAAUAUGGGGGGACCAUCCUCCAAGGCUAAAUACUCCUGACUGACCGAUAGUGAACCAGUACCGUGAGGGAAAGGCGAAAAGAACCCCGGCGAGGGGAGUGAAAAAGAACCUGAAACCGUGUACGUACAAGCAGUGGGAGCCCCACCACCAAAGCAUUUGCUGUACCGCGUUGACGGAGCGAAGCGACGUCAAACCGAUAAAACAGCAGUGUAAAGUGAGCCGCAGGGCGCUUUGCGCGACAGCGCAAAGGCAGGCGGUUUCGCGUAGCGAAAGCGAAUGCUUUGGGGUGGGGUGACUGCGUACCUUUUGUAUAAUGGGUCAGCGACUUAUAUUCUGUAGCAAGGUUAACCGAAUAGGGGAGCCGGAGGGAAACCGAGUCUUAAUUGGGCGUUAAGUUGCAGGGUAUAGACCCGAAACCCGGUGAUCUAGCCAUGGGCAGGUUGAAGGUUGGGUAACACUAACUGGAGGACCGAACCGACUAAUGUUGAAAAAUUAGCGGAUGACCUGUGGCUGGGGGUGAAAGGCCAAUCAAACCGGGAGAUAGCUGGUUCUCCCCGAAAGCUAUUUAGGUAGCGCCUCGUGAAUUCAUCUCCGGGGGUAGAGCACUGUUUCGGCUAGGGGGCCAUCCCGGCUUACCAACCCGAUGCAAACUGCGAAUACCGGAGAAUGUUAUCACGGGAGACACACGGCGGGUGCUAACGUCCGUCGUGAAGAGGGAAACAACCCAGACCGCCAGCUAAGGUCCCAAAGUCAUGGUUAAGUGGGAAACGAUGUGGGAAGGCCCAGACAGCCAGGAUGUUGGCUUAGAAGCAGCCAUCAUUUAAAGAAAGCGUAAUAGCUCACUGGUCGAGUCGGCCUGCGCGGAAGAUGUAACGGGGCUAAACCAUGCACCGAAGCUGCGGCAGCGACACUGUGUGUUGUUGGGUAGGGGAGCGUUCUGUAAGCCUGUGAAGGUGUGUCGUGAGGCAUGCUGGAGGUAUCAGAAGUGCGAAUGCUGACAUAAGUAACGAUAAAGCGGGUGAAAAGCCCGCUCGCCGGAAGACCAAGGGUUCCUGUCCAACGUUAAUCGGGGCAGGGUGAGUCGACCCCUAAGGCGAGGCCGAAAGGCGUAGUCGAUGGGAAACGGGUUAAUAUUCCCGUACUUGGUGUUACUGCGAAGGGGGGACGGAGAAGGCUAUGUUGGCCGGGCGACGGUUGUCCCGGUUUAAGCGUGUAGGUGUGUGUUCCAGGUAAAUCCGGUUCACUUUAACACUGAGGCGUGACGACGAGGCACUACGGUGCUGAAGCAACAAAUGCCCUGCUUCCAGGAAAAGCCUCUAAGCAUCAGGUAACAUCAAAUCGUACCCCAAACCGACACAGGUGGUCAGGUAGAGAAUACCAAGGCGCUUGAGAGAACUCGGGUGAAGGAACUAGGCAAAAUGGUGCCGUAACUUCGGGAGAAGGCACGCUGACACGUAGGUGAAGUGAUUUACUCAUGGAGCUGAAGUCAGUCGAAGAUACCAGCUGGCUGCAACUGUUUAUUAAAAACACAGCACUGUGCAAACACGAAAGUGGACGUAUACGGUGUGACGCCUGCCCGGUGCCGGAAGGUUAAUUGAUGGGGUCAGCGCAAGCGAAGCUCCUGAUCGAAGCCCCGGUAAACGGCGGCCGUAACUAUAACGGUCCUAAGGUAGCGAAAUUCCUUGUCGGGUAAGUUCCGACCUGCACGAAUGGCGUAAUGAUGGCCAGGCUGUCUCCACCCGAGACUCAGUGAAAUUGAACUCGCUGUGAAGAUGCAGUGUACCCGCGGCAAGACGGAAAGACCCCGUGAACCUUUACUAUAGCUUGACACUGAACAUUGAGCCUUGAUGUGUAGGAUAGGUGGGAGGCUUUGAAGUGUGGACGCCAGUCUGCAUGGAGCCGACCUUGAAAUACCACCCUUUAAUGUUUGAUGUUCUAACGUGGACCCGUUACCCGGGUUGCGGACAGUGUCUGGUGGGUAGUUUGACUGGGGCGGUCUCCUCC
rnacentral:rRNA from 1 species